UUCUGUAGAAAAGAGUGGAGUAGUAUCUGUCAAAAGGAAAUCUAUUUGAACUCAAGGAUUCAGUUUGUAAGAGGGUCCCACAAAAAAUGCUAAUAUUAUGUUAACUAACAGUGUCAGUAUUAAAAGAUCUCUUACUCCAACAAUACUCUGGUGAUGAGAUCCUGAUCAAACACCAAGCCCAAAGAUUGUUCUGUCCACUUGAUUAUUAAGGAAUGUCUUUACCAUUGGAGGCCUUCUGAUAAUCCAUACUAUAAAGCUCCUGCUCAGGAAUCAGCAAAGGUCCUGACCUCCAGCUAGCCCUUUUCCCAUGGAAAGUAUCUAACAUGUAAAGUAUAAAACUGCCUACCAAAAGUACUACUACUGUUCACUGUUUUAAAGGCCAGCAGUCUUCUU